rnacentral:misc_RNA from 1 species
UUAAGUUCAGCGGGUAUUCCUACCUGAUCCGAGGUCAACCAUUAAAAAAUUUGGGGGGUUUAGCGGCUAAAGACGCUGCAACUCCAGUCAAAAGCGAGAUAAAAAUUACUACGCUCAGAGGAUAUCGCAGAUCCGCCGUUGUAUUUCAGGAGCUACCGCUAGCAAAAGCGGUAGGCUCCCAACACUAAGCUAGGCUUAAG